rnacentral:rRNA from 1 species
GAUGAACGCUAGCGAUAGGCUUAACACAUGCAAGUCGAGGGGCAGCACAAGGUAGCUUGCUAUCUGGGUGGCGACCGGCGCACGGGUGCGUAACGCGUAUGCAACUUGCCCUAUACAGGAGGAUAACCCGUCGAAAGACGGACUAAUACUGCGUAUGCUCACAACUUGGCAUCAAGUGGUGAGGAAAGAAAUUCGGUAUAGGAUAGGCAUGCGUCCCAUUAGCUUGUUGGUGAGGUAACGGCUCACCAAGGCAGCGAUGGGUAGGGGAACUGAGAGGUUUAUCCCCCACACUGGUACUGAGACACGGACCAGACUCCUACGGGAGGCAGCAGUGAGGAAUAUUGAUCAAUGGGCGCGAGCCUGAACCAGCCAAGUCGCGUGAAGGAUGACUGUCUUAUGGAUUGUAAACUUCUUUUAUACGGGAAUAACAAGAGUCACGUGUGACUCCCUGCAUGUACCGUAUGAAUAAGCAUCGGCUAACUCCGUG